UGUUUCUUCGUAAUUUCUCCCUCAAUUCCUCUUCUCCAUCACCCUCACUAAAUUUCAUCUUUAUCGUUAUUUAGAACUUCACAUUGAAUUUUUAAAAUGGUGGAACUUAGCCAUCAACAACUUCUAUAUUAUCAUCAACAAUUCAAGCAUUAUCAUCAAAAAUCAUCCAUCAACAAUUUCUACAUUAUCGUCAACAAUCAUCA
rnacentral:lncRNA from 1 species